rnacentral:rRNA from 1 species
ACGAACCGUCCAAACGUUAUUCGGAAUUACUGGGCUUAAAGGGUGCGUAGGCGGCGCGGAAAGUUGGGUGUGAAAUCCCUCGGCUCAACCGAGGAACUGCGCUCAAUACUACCGUGCUCGAGGGAGAUAGAGGUGAGCGGAACUUAGGGUGGAGCGGUGAAAUGCGUUGAUAUCCUAAGGAACACCGGUGGCGAAAGCGGCUCACUGGAUCUCUUCUGACGCUGAGGCACGAAAGCUAGGGUAGCGAACGGGAUUAGAUACCCCGGUAGUCCUAGCCGUAAACGAUGAGCACUGGAUUGAAGGGUCCUCCAUAGCCUUUCAGUCGCAACGAAAGCGUUAAGUGCUCCGCCUGGGGAGUAUGGUCGCAAGGCUG